CCCCACCUCCCCGCGCGACCGUGAAAAAGCCCCUUUCAACCUUGAACCUGCUCCACCUCUGUAAACUGAAGACGUGGCUUGUAAGAACGAAUGAAGGGAUUCAUUUGUGCCCUUGACCUAAGGACCUUCUGGGCUGUCUUAUCCCCAUUCUACAGAAGCUGUGGCUUCAGGGGACAGAGCAACUUGCACCUGGCUGCACACCUGGCAAGUGGCGAGCUGGGUUCGAAUCCAGAUUUCCCUGGCUCCUGACUCCCAGCUCUUACCGCUUAACUUAUCCUGCCUCCGCGGGCCGCCGAGAGGGAUUGCACAGGAGUGGUGGCCGCGAAAGAGCUUUGGAAAGGGGCACGAGGCCGCGUUCCCGAGUCCCGUCUGCGUGCCCGGCGCGCACCCCUCAGGGAGGUGCUUUCCCCUGGAGAUGGGCCGUGUGACCUUCGCGCCCCCUUGGGACAGGCGAGGAGCGGGAGGCGCCCUGCGUCUCCGCCCUGCCCCCUCCCCGAGAAUAGUCUAGAUGAGUCGGCCGCGGCUUGCUCCCCGCCAGCGGCGCCCGCGGCCCCGCCGCCCCCAGCGGGCCCGAGGAGGGCGCGCGGCUGCGGGGGGCCGGGGCGCACGCUGCACUCCUCAAACCAGGCCCUUCAGCAAGCGCGCAGCUCUUGUUUGCGUGCACAGGCCUUUGUUCGCGCACCGGGACGGAGACCUCUUUUCCUCGGUCGCUUGGGUCGCGUCUUGAAACACACACGCGCCAGGAACAGAAACGCCGCGCUGCGGCAACACGCGCUCAGAGCGCGUCUCUGUGCCCGCCUGGCGGGCGGCGGGCGGCGGGGCUGGUCCCUGCGGCCCUUCGCUCCCAGGCGCUACACCCCUGCCUCAGUUUCCCCAUCUGCACCGGGAGGUGGCGUGCAUCAGGGCCCAGCCGCCGGCUGGAAUUCGGUCUUUGCGAGAGCGCCGCGCGCGGGAGGCGGCGGGGAGCGGGGCAGACAGGGCUGCCUGUGGGUCGUCUGUGUUUCCAAGACCGUAAACAAGUAAAGGAGAAAACAGACAAGAUCAUUUGAAAUAACACCAAGUGGUAACAUAAUAGGAGCACAGAUGGGAAAAUGGAGGCUGAAUCGCCUGUUGGAGGGAAAUGAGAAGUUGAAGGAGUUGAACGAUUUCCCCAUUUCCUCGAGCGUCCAGUACGUGGUGGAGACCAGAUUCGGACUGCAGACAUACUCUGGGUUCCCAGGAUUCCUGAAAUCCAAAGGUUCCAAGCUGGCUUUCAGGGCCUGUGCAAGCCGCUUGCUGUAACCCAAUGAGAAAGGAUCAUAUAUGAGGAAAGAGAAGCCCCGAGAGGUUAAGUGGCUUGCCCCAGGCCACACAGUGAGUAGGUGCAAGGUGGAGGUUCAAAUCCUCGUCCGUCAGAUUCCAGGGAGGUGCUGAGGCACCCACACAUGUGCAGCCCGGGACCAUUUAUUGGAAAUUACCCUGGAGCACGGACAAGGCCCAUGCUUGGAAUGUAAGUGCCUGAAGAGGUGAACAUAAGCCGUGAGCCUGCAGAUGCCCCCUCCUUCCUGCGAUCCUUUGGCUGGGGUAGCGGGCAUAUUUCAUUAAACUAAGCUGGCACCAGAAAUUCGUGUCAUUCCACUUUCUUUAUACCCUGAAUGAACUGCGGACCAUGAGUAUGAGUAGGAGACUGUAGAACUGGCUACAUUGCUAAGCAGUGGUCAGGAUACAGGCCCAGUGACUUCCUGGCCUCUGUGGGCCCAGUGCAAGGAGGCGCCUUCCAGCUCUAAUCCCAGUUUCUUCUCGCCUUAAUUUUACCCAGUUCCAGAACAUCCAGUGGCUCCCAAAUUCCCUUCAGUUUUGCCCUGCAGGGCGUGGGGAGGAUAGAGGAAGGGAAAGGGACAAACCUGGGUUCAAAUCCUGAUUCCCUUUUGGUGAGUCUCAGUCUUUGCAUCCGUUAAAUGGGAGGAAUAAUCCCUGCUCUGCUGAUUUACCCAGGCGUUAAGGACCACACAGAACAAGGGAUAGGAAUGGCCUUUGCAGAUCAGAGCUGGUGACCUGUGCAGAACGUACUUCAGCAGAUUGCAUUGUCUCUUUGGAGGGCAGGGAGAACUGGGGUGGGGCUGGGGGCAGUUUCAGGCAGAGUGCUGCCCCUUCUGGGGGGGCUCCUACCCGCAGCCUCACGGAAGAAGUGGGCCACAGUGGGCAGUUACACAUAGAUGCGCCCGUCAGGAGACAUGAUGAUUCAGAGCAAUGGUUCUGAGUCAAGGGCCAGUCAAACCUGGGUUAUAAACCCGGCUCUACCCCUCACUAGCUGAGGGACCCUUGGACAACUCACAUAACUCCUUUGUACCUCCAUUUUCACGUCCGUCAGGUGGGAUUAAAAACACAGC